rnacentral:rRNA from 1 species
CCUAGGGGAGGCAGCAGUAGGGAAUAUUGCUCAAUGGGGGAAACCCUGAUGCAGCAACGCCGCGUGGAGGAUGAAGCCCUUCGGGGUGUAAAGAUCUGUCAGUGGGGACGAAACCUGACGGUACCCACAGAGGAAGCACCGCCUAACUCCGUGCCAGCAGCCGCGGUAAUACGGGGGGUGCAAGCGUUGUCCGGAAGCAUUGGGCGUAAAGAGUUCGUAGGUGGCACGUUAAGUCUGGUGUUAAAGGCGGAAGCUCAACUUCCGUAGGGCACUGGAAACUGGCGAGCUGGAAGGCGGUAGAGGUAAAGGGAAUUCCUGGUGUAGCGGUGAAAUGCGUAGAUAUCAGGAGGAACAUCGGUGGCGUAAGCGCUUUACUGGGCCGUAAUUGACACUGAGGAACGAAAGCCGGGGUAGCAAAUGGGAUUAGAUACCCCGGUAGUC